rnacentral:misc_RNA from 1 species
GUGGGAGGGGGCUUGCUCCUGAUGGCGAUGUGUCAGUCAGCUUGUCUGUGGCUGGCACGCAGCUAUCGGGAUCAAGCCCCCUCCCUC